GUGUUGUUUCAAACAACAAAGCAUACACCUUUCCAAUUGGUAUAUCGCCUAGUCGAGUUGACACUAUUUCUUUCCGUAGCAACUUCAUUACUUGAGCGAAUAUUUUCAGCAAUGAAGAUCAUCAAAGCACAUUUGCGCAAUAAGAUUUUAGAUGAAGUAUUCAAUGAUUCAUUUGAAUUAUUUAUGAUGAUUAGAUUAGAUACAAUCCCGAAAAAGAAAUACUGCAAGGAUAUUUUCCUUGUGGGUAUACUGUGA
rnacentral:rRNA from 1 species